UGUUGGUGGUGAGUGGCGAACGGGUGAGUAACACGUGAGUAACCUGCCCCUGAUUUCGGGAUAAGCCUGGGAAACUGGGUCUAAUACCGGAUACGACCACCUGACGCAUGUUGGGUGGUGGAAAGUUUUUCGAUCGGGGAUGGGCUCGCGGCCUAUCAGCUUGUUGGUGGGGUAAUGGCCUACCAAGGCGACGACGGGUAGCCGGCCUGAGAGGGCGACCGGCCACACUGGGACUGAGACACGGCCCAGACUCCUACGGGAGGCAGCAGUGGGGAAUAUUGCACAAUGGGGGAAACCCUGAUGCAGCGACGCAGCGUGCGGGAUGACGGCCUUCGGGUUGUAAACCGCUUUCAGCAGGGAAGAAGCGAAAGUGACGGUACCUGCAGAAGAAGUACCGGCUAACUACGUGCCAGCAGCCGCGGUAAUACGUAGGGUACGAGCGUUGUCCGGAAUUAUUGGGCGUAAAGAGCUCGUAGGUGGUUGGUCACGUCUGCUGUGGAAACGCAACGCUUAACGUUGCGCGUGCAGUGGGUACGGGCUGACUAGAGUGCAGUAGGGGAGUCUGGAAUUCCUGGUGUAGCGGUGAAAUGCGCAGAUAUCAGGAGGAACACCGGUGGCGAAGGCGGGACUCUGGGCUGUAACUGACACUGAGGAGCGAAAGCAUGGGGAGCGAACAGGAUUAGAUACCCUGGUAGUCCAUGCCGUAAAACGUUGGGCACUAGGUGUGGGGGACAUUCCACGUUCUCCGCGCCGUAGCUAACGCAUUAAGUGCCCGCCUGGGGAGUACUGUCGCAAGGCUAAACUCAAGGAAUUGACGGGGCCCGCCACAGCGGCGGAGCAUGGCGGAUUA
rnacentral:rRNA from 1 species